CUUCCUCAUCUGAUUACUUUAUUACAGAGAUCUGAUAUUGAUUUGGUCAUCCUCAGGAGAUCCGCAAAGAUUGAGGAUGCUGACCCUUGAAGGAAGGAGUUUGACAACUUGGUCAGCUAAAUGUGUUAGUCAUAAAGUUACUCCAUACUCUGCAUUGAGAGUCUGAGACUUGGAGCUUUCAGCUGCUUUGUUUGUUGUCAAGAAUCGAGGUCCCUCAUUCUUGUAGAGUUCGACGUUCGGGAAUUCUGGUUUCUUCUUGUCCUACUCGAUUUCGAUCCUUUCGGGUGGCCCUUACCAUGCUCUCCACAGCUGAUGAACAACUGGCUUUGGCCUACAAAUCAUCUUUUGAUGUUAACGCUUCCUUUUCUGGUAGCCUAGUUCAUGAUAUUCUUUUCAUGAUACCUUAGCAGAUCGCCCACCAAAAAUCAAUAUCUUUCAGCAAGAAAAGACACCUUUGAUUAUAUGUUUACAAAUUUGACCAUUCAUUCAGAAACUUGAAAGAUUUGUUAGCCCCUGUAUUUAAUGAAACAUUAUAUGAUAUCCCGAGCU